rnacentral:rRNA from 1 species
AUUGAACGCUGGCGGCAGGCCUAACACAUGCAAGUCGAGCGAGCGGCGGACGGGUGAGUAAUGUCUGGGAACCUGCCUGAUGGGGGGGGCUAACUACUGGAAACGGUAGCUAAUACCGCAUCCCAUCAGAUGUGCCCAGAUGGGAUUAGCUAGUGGGUGGGGUAACGGCCCACCUAGGCGACGAUACCUAGCUGGGCUGAGUGGAUGACCAGCCACACUGGAACUGAGACACGGUCCAGACUCCUACGGGAGGCAGCAGUGGGGAAUAUUGGACAAUGGGCGAAAGCCUGAUGCAGCCAUGCCGCGUGUGUGAAGAAGGCCUUCGGGUUGUAAAGCACUUUCAGCGGGGAGGCGUUACCCGCAGAAGAAGCACCGGCUAACUCCGUGCCAGCAGCCGCGGUAAUAC